CUGCAGUGAUGGCGACGGGCCCACGGCGGCGGUGACAGCUGUGAUCGCGGGCGGCGAGGAGCGACGGGCGAGAUGGGCGGCCUGCGGGUGAGCGGGCGGAGGGCGUCGUGGGCGGCCUCGACGCGAGCGAUGCUACUGCUGGCCGUGGUACUGCUGCGGGCGGCCUCCGCGGCGGCAGAGUGGGACAGCCACUGCCCGGCCGGGUGCAAGUGCACUUAUGUCAGCAACAGGAAGGUGGCCGACUGCCGCAACGCCGGCUUCUCGACGGUGCCGACGUCUCUAAGUUCCGAGAUUCAGGAGCUCAACCUCAACACCAACAACAUCAUGUACCUGGAGAAGGACGCGUUCAAGAAAUCCGGCCUGGUCAACCUGCAGAAGCUCUACCUGAAGGAGAACAACAUCCGCACCGUGCACAAGGACGCCUUCAGGGACCUCAGGAUCAUGAUCGAGCUCGACCUCAGCGCCAACGCCAUCGAUAAGCUCCACCCGCACACGUUCACCGGCCUAGAGAAGCUGCGUGUGCUGGACCUGAGCGAGAACGCGCUGGUGCGGCUGGACGGGGUGCAGUUCCCCCCCCUCCCCCACCUGCGCAAGCUCGACUUCCGCAACAAUGACCUCGUCUACAUUCACAACUACGCCUUCUCCAACCUGGCGAUGCUCAUGUCGCUCAGGCUCUCUGGGAACAGCCUGAAGCUGGUACAGCCGGAGCUCUUCAUCAACAACACGAACCUAGUGGAGCUGGAGCUGCACGACAACCCGUGGGAGUGCGACUGCCGCCUCAAGAGCCUCGUGCGCUGGACCAAGAAGAAGUCGCUCCUGCAGGAGCACGUGACAUGCCACUCGCCGGAGCGCGUGUCGGGACGCCGCUGGGAGGCGGUGUCGGAGGAUGAGCUGGCGUGCCGGCCAGAGCUCAUCGUGACGCAAGCGGAGGUGCCAGCUGCGCCGGGCCAGAACGCGUCGCUGACGUGUCGCGCGAGCGGGGAGCCCCUGCCGCAGCUCAAGUGGGUGCUGCACGGGCGCGUGCUGACCAACAUGUCGGUGAUCCCGUUCUCGCAGCCGGAGCAGCGCUACGUGGUGCGCGAGGUGGUGGAGGCGGCCACGCGCUGGUCGCAGCUCACCGUCACGCACGUGCAGGACCACGACCUCACGUACUACACGUGCGUGGCCGACAACCUGGCGGGCCUCGUGGAGCACAACGUGUCGCUGGUGGCCGCCGCGCCCUCGCACACGGGCGCCGUGGCACCCAAGGCCACGCUCGACCUCUACGCCAUCAUCGGCAUCGCCACCGGCGGCCUGGUGCUGCUGCUGGCGCUGAUCGUGGCGCUGUGCUGCUGCGUGCGCCGCCGCCGCAGCCGCGAGAUGAAGGCGCGGCCCAAGGUCAACGGCUCCGCGGGCGGCCACGUGGAGCACAAGAACGUCAUGAUCGUCAACCCGGUGGAGAAGCCGCCGCGCCAGUACGAGCAGGUGCCGCAGACGGACAUCGAGAUGGCGGCGCUGGCGGCGGACGCGGGCGCGCACCGCAGCUACGACGAGGUGGACUACCCCGAGGCGGGCCCCGCGGCGCACCGCACGCCCCUGGCCACGCUGGAGGAGGAGGACGACGACCUGCCGUCGCAGGACACGACGCUGCCCCUGGACGCGUCCUGCGCCGCGCCGCCGCACAGCGUGGUCGACUACCUGGGCCACUACCCCGACCUGCUCGACAUGACGCGGCCGCGCGCCGUCUCGCCCACGCAGCUCUCCUACCACUCGCUGGUGGCGCCGCAGUUCGCCGCCGUGCCGCCGCCCGCCGCAGAGUACCGCUACAGCUACGUGCACCCCGCCGAGUACACGCCCUACCCCGUGGCCUAUGUGGCGCCCCAGCCGCAGCCGCAGCCGCGCCCCGGGUACGUGACGCUGCCGCGGCGCCACCGCUCGCCGUCGUGGGCGGGCCAAUCGUCGCUCGAGGCGGACGCCAGCUCGCCCCCUCCGCCGCAGGAGGGCGAGCGCCGCUACGACCCGAUCUACGACACGCUGGGACCGCGCACCACCGCCGACGGCACCUCGCGCACCGACCUGACACGGCCCGCGCUGCGCGCCGCCGAGCCCUUCACGCCGCGCACGCCGCAGUCGCCCGCCUCGCCGCCCGGCCUGCCCGUGUACUACGCCCCCGCGACGGGCGGCCCCGCGCGCCCGCUGCACCACCAGCGCAACCACAGCUCGACGCUGCCACGCUCCACGCCCAACCUGCUGGAAGGCGGCGCCGGCCUGACCCUGCCGCCGCACCAGCAGGCGCUGGCCGAGGGCGUGCCGGCGCAGUUGGUGACCCGCGGCGCCCUCCUGCCCGCCCACUCGCCCACGCCGUCCACCGCCAGCACCGCGCGCACCGCCUCGCCCGCCUACCGCGCCGCCUCGCCCGCGAUCGCGUCGCCGCUGCACCUCCCGCCCGCCUCCUCCUCCCCCGCCUCCGCCGCCGCCGCCGCCGCCGCGCCCUCCCGCUCCCCCCUCGCCUCCAGCAGCGAGUCCACGCUCGACUCCUCGGCGCUCUACAACAACAACAACAACAGCCACAGCAUCAACAACAACACCCCUGGCAAGGCGGCCAAGGAGCUGGACGUGAGCGUGGCGUCGACGGGCUCGACGGCGUCGAAGAAGGUGCCGCCCAAGCCGCCGCCCAAGCCCAGCGCCAAGCGGCUGUCCGUGGCCUCCACCGCCAGCGACUCACGCAAGGCGACGCUGGCGGGCGACGGCCGCACCUUCCAGGACGAGGGGCCCGACGGCACGGAGGUGUGAGGAAGGGAGGGGGGAGGGGAGGGAGCGCCCCCGCCGGGAAGGGGGGACUCACCGCGCGGCGAAGCCCUUGUCGCGCCACCCCGCGCGCCCCGCGUCCACGGCGGCGUGCGCGUCACCAGCGAUGACGACAGCGAGGCAGUGUCCAGCAGCCCCGACGAUGGCCUGGAGUGGGUGUAGCGGCGCCGUCGCCAGGCCCCGACCGCUACCCCACGCCUCCCACCCGCCCGCCCGCCCCGCCCGGCCCCGUCCCGUCCCGCGCCGCGCCGCCACCGCGACCUGAGCAGACGCGGCGCCAGGCCAGCAUCGCCGGUGCCAAGUGCCGAGCGUGCGGAGACGCGACGCCAGGUGAGGACGGCGCCAGAACGCGCGUGGCCGACGGACGGCGAGGUCCCUCUCCCCCUGCUCCCUCUCCCUCCCCCUCCCCCUGUCCCCUCGCAGACCCUCCCCCCUUCUUCCCCCACGCCCACUCCCACUCCCUCUCCCCCGCCCGCGGAGACCGAGAGUGAAGAUCAAGAAGCCUUCCAGUGUGUGACGAACACUUUCUAUCUUUGUUAAGGUAAAAUACACAAGGUAAAAAAAUAUGUACAUAAACAUGUAAGAGUGAAGCACCAACGAUGGUUCCACAGAGGAAACAGCAAAAUAAAAAGUGUUGAACAUUGCGCCUCUCCUCUUUCUAGAGAGACAGAGAAAGAGAGAGAGAGAGAAUGAACUGCAGCGCAUGACCUGUGCAUGACAUCGCUCGGACAUGGAUGGGUCGAAGUGCCAGUGUGGAAUACCAGGGUCGAGAGGCACAGGUAGCAGCAUCAUGCAAGCAGACCAGCCAGUCAGCCUGCCUGCCUGCUUGCCUGUCUGUUCGCCUGUCUGCCUGCUUGCUUGCCUGCCUGCCUGUAUGCCUGUCUAUCUGUCUGUCUGUAGGUACUCUCCCCUGCAGUUGCUUUUCUGUGAAUAUCCUUUACAUAGAGAAUUUAAACGAAGCCACAUCUUCAGUUUCUCCAAGAAGGUUGGACUGUGAAGUUGUGUAAGGAUGUUUAGAAUAUAUUAAAAAAUACAAGAGAAAUGGUAGGAUUAGAUUUGAAGAAUUUAAGAAAAAAAAAUAAUAAAAAAAAUAAGAGAAAUGAAGUUUGAUUACUAUGCUGAAUAUAUAUAUUGUAUUUUCAUAUCGCAAAUUAGCACCAAAUUUUGUAUGUUCAUAUUUAUUGACGGAAUAAUUAAGGGAAAACUGCUUGUGUGGAAACCUCCCCACCCCCCUUCCUCCGUUAGCCGCUCUUAGAGAAAGGGUGUAUGUAUGCACGCCACGCCGGACAGAGUAUUGUAGAGCUCAUUUUAACACGUCAUCAUCAUCACCAUCACCAUCAUCGUCGUCGCCGAGGUCGUCGCCGUGGUGACCCGAUAGAGCUAGAGGAUAGACGCCGCCACGGUCGCCCAGCGCUGCAGAAUGAGGAAUACAGAUUUCUAUUCUAUUAUUAGUUUAUAUAUGUGUGUUUGUGUGUAUAUAUAUAUAUAUAAUCCUCCGUGUGUCCCCGGGCGAGGAACUUUUAUAAUGUCAAGAGUGGUGACAAUGCAGCACAGAGGGAAAAGACGAUGGUGGUGGUGGUGGCAGGUGAUGAUGAUGAUGGUGAUGGUGAUGCAUCGAGAAAGCCGAAGAUUCCCAUGCAGUUUCGGCUGAGGUAUGGCGGCGACGCAAGGAGACGUAGGUCGACGAUGUGGACGCCCAGGAAAGAGGUGUCCGAGUCGAGACGUCGAGGCCCCAACGACGCAGAGGGGGAUACGUCUACGUCACCGGCGACGCAAAGGAAAGAGGUGUCCGAGUUACCGACAACGCCAAGAAAAAAAAAAGUAAGCUGAUGUCUGGGCUGCUGACGACGUAAAGGGAGACGUCUGGUUUAUCGACGCAGAAGGAGACGACGUCUGGGAGACAAGUGGUCGACAAAGCAGGGUUCCUAACAUACGUUUUAUGCUUAAGAAGAACACUUCCCUGUGUGUGUGUGUGUAUGUACGUGUGUGUGCGCGUGUGUGUGUGACAUAUAGGAUUCAUUAUAAUGUUUUUUUGUUUUUUUUUCUCCUCUUAAUCUUUUGAGAUACAUUAUGAUAAAAGUGAAUUCUAAUUAUACGAAAGCUUUUGAUAUCAAGUCACACCAUAGUCGUUAAGUUCUUUGUCUAUUUUUUUCUGUUCUUUUUUUAAGUAGCAAGGAAGGCCAAAAAAGAAAAAAAAAGAAAACAGAAGUACAAAAAAUCGACGGAGUUAGACAGGGCAUAGUUUUUUUGUGUUUGUAUAUAAAACCCCAUUAUAUAUUAAUGUCCCCAAUGUGAAUUUUUUUAUUUUACCUUUCUUUAUCAUUUUGGAAUUAUUAGUGUCAAUGUCUUUUUUUGUGUCGAGGAAUCUGUUGAUAUAUUUUGUACCUCCUUUUCGUUACAAAUUUCGGUAGAAGUCGCAAUUAAAUUUGUUUCUCUGAAUAAAGUAAUAUAGAAAAAGAUACAGGUAUUUGAUUAGCAUUUCUUGAUCUGACAGAAUUUAAUGUUUAUUUAUUUAUUUUUAUUUUUUAUUUUUUUUUGUAAAUAUAUUAUUAUUGAUUCCUUGGAUAGAUCAGGGUUGAACUAUGAAUUUGAACUUUUAAUUUUUGUUAUCAUUAUUAUUAUUAUUACCAUCAUCAUCAUUAUCAUCAUUAUUACUAUUAGUACUAUUAUAAUUAUCAUAAUCAUCAUAAUUCCUAUCUUUAAUUUUUGCUCUGACAAGAAACAAUUAAUUUUGCGAGUUCUAAUAAAGAAGUUUCAUCUCACAAAAACACCCUUCAGUUGUCGAGGAAGAGUGCCAACCUUUGUAAGAAUCAGAGAGGGGGAGGGGGAGGGGGGGGGAGGGGGGGGGGAUGAUAAUCCACAUGUAUUAAAGACACUUCAGUAAGAUAAAUGUAUCGUGAACUGUGACGGAGAAAGAGGGAAGGAGAAGGCGAAGAUGAUGAUGAUGCGUGAUUACCUCCCCCCCCCUUCACUCCAUCACCUUUUCUAUCAUGUUAUUCUCCUCUUUUCUCCCUUCCUCCUCACUUCCUCCUCUUCUUCUCUUCCUCCUCUUCGUCCCUUCUCGUCUCUCUCUCUCUCGCCUCUCAGGUUCAUGUGAAGGAAAUCCGACAAAGGGUACAUUAUAUAUAUAUUUUUUCCCUCCUUUUGUGGAUGAGUGUUUUUCUUUCCCUCAUGCAGGUGUCGUGACUUCCCUCCUCCUCCUUCCUCCCUCUUCUUCCUAAUCACCAUUUUCCUUUUCUUCAUCUUCUUCCUCCUAUUCCUCUUUCUCACCCUCCUCAUUCUUCUUUUUCUCAUCCUCCUCAUUCUUCUUUUUCUCCCUCUCCUUCCUGUAAUGAUAAAGCAGUCCAGACGAAGGAAAAGUAUAGAGGAAGAGGCAAAUGAAGAUAAGAGAGAAGGAGAAAGAAAAGGAAGAGAAGGGGAACGAGAAAGAGAAAGAGGAGGAGGAG
rnacentral:misc_RNA from 1 species